rnacentral:rRNA from 1 species
AGGAAUAUUGGUCAAUGGGCGAGAGCCUGAACCAGCCAAGUAGCGUGAAGGAUGAAGGUCCUACGGAUUGUAAACUUCUUUUAUACGGGAAUAAAGUAUCCUACGUGUAGGAUUUUGUAUGUACCGUAUGAAUAAGCAUCGGCUAACUCCGUGCCAGCAGCCGCGGUAAUACGGAGGAUGCGAGCGUUAUCCGGAUUUAUUGGGUUUAAAGGGAGCGCAGACGGGAGAUUAAGUCAGUUGUGAAAGUUUGCGGCUCAACCGUAAAAUUGCAGUUGAUACUGGUUUCCUUGAGUGCAGUUGAGGCAGGCGGAAUUCGUGGUGUAGCGGUGAAAUGCUUAGAUAUCACGAAGAACCCCGAUUGCGAAGGCAGCUUGCUAAACUGUAACUGACGUUCAUGCUCGAAAGUGUGGGUAUCAAACAGGAUUAGAUACCCUGGUAGUCCACACGGUAAACGAUGGAUACUCGCUGUUGGCGAUAUACUGUCAGCGGCCAAGCGAAAGCAUUAAGUAUCCCACCUGGGGAGUACGCCGGCAACGGUGAAACUCAAAGGAAUUGACGGGGGCCCGCACAAGCGGAGGAACAUGUGGUUUAAUUCGAUGAUACGCGAGGAACCUUACCCGGGCUUAAAUUGCAGACGAAUUACGAGGAAACUUGUAAGCCGCAAGGCGUCUGUGAAGGUGCUGCAUGGUUGUCGUCAGCUCGUGCCGUGAGGUGUCGGCUUAAGUGCCAUAACGAGCGCAACCCUCGUGGUCAGUUACUAACAGGUAACGCUGAGGACUCUGGCCAGACUGCCAUCGUAAGAUGUGAGGAAGGUGGGGAUGACGUCAAAUCAGCACGGCCCUUACGUCCGGGGCUACACACGUGUUACAAUGGGAGGUACAGAAGGCAGCUACCCGGCGACGGGAUGCCAAUCCCCAAAACCUCUCUCAGUUCGGACUGGAGUCUGCAACCCGACUCCACGAAGCUGGAUUCGCUAGUAAUCGCGCAUCAGCCACGGCGCGGUGAAUACGUUCCCG